rnacentral:rRNA from 1 species
AAUAGAUACCCGGGUAGUCCACGCCGUAAACGAUGAGUGCUAAGUGUUAGGGGGUUUCCGCCCCUUAGUGCUGCAGCUAACGCAUUAAGCACUCCGCCUGGGGAGUACGACCGCAAGGUUGAAACUCAAAGGAAUUGACGGGGGCCCGCACAAGCGGUGGAGCAUGUGGUUUAAUUCGAAGCAACGCGAAGAACCUUACCAGGUCUUGACAUCCCAAUGACCGCUCUAGAGAUAGAGUUUUCCCUUCGGGGACAUUGGUGACAGGUGGUGCAUGGUUGUCGUCAGCUCGUGUCGUGAGAUGUUGGAUUAAGUCCCGCAACGAGCGCAACCCUUAUUCUUAGUUGCCAUCAUUUAGUUGGGCACUCUAAGGAGACUGCCAGUGACAAACCGGAGGAAGGUGGGGAUGACGUACAAAUCAUCAUGCCCCUUAUGACCUGGGCUACACACGUGCUACAAUGGACGGUACAAAGAGCUGCGAGCCCGCGAGGGUAAGCCAAUCUCAUAAAACCGUUCUCAGUUCGGAUUGUAGUCUGCAACUCG